GCGUAAAGCGCGCGUAGGUGGUUUGUUAAGUUGGAUGUAAAAGCCCCGGGCUCAACCUGGGAUCUGCAUCCAAAACUGGCGAGCUAGAGUACGGUAGAGGGUGGUGGAAUUUCCUGUGUAGCGGUGAAAUGCGUAGAUAUAGGAAGGAACACCAGUGGCGAAGGCGACCACCUGGACUGAUACU
rnacentral:rRNA from 1 species